rnacentral:rRNA from 1 species
CCUACGGGAGGCAGCAGUGAGGAAUAUUGGACAAUGGGCGCAAGCCUGAUCCAGCCAUGCCGCGUGCAGGAAGAAGCAUCUAUGGUGUGUAAACUGCUUUUGUACAGGAAGAAACACUCCCUCGUGAGGGAGCUUGACGGUACUGUAAGAAUAAGGACCGGCUAACUCCGUGCCAGCAGCCGCGGUAAUACGGAGGGUCCGAGCGUUAUCCGGAAUCAUUGGGUUUAAAGGGUCCGUAGGCGGUUUAAUAAGUCAGUGGUGAAAUCUGGUCGCUCAACGAUCAAACGGCCAUUGAUACUGUUAGACUUGAAUUAUAAGGAAGUAACUAGAAUAUGUAGUGUAGCGGUGAAAUGCUUAGAUAUUACAUGGAAUACCAAUUGCGAAGGCAGGUUACUACUUAUGGAUUGACGCUGAUGGACGAAAGCGUGGGGAGCGAACAGGAUUAGAUACCCUGGUAGUCCACGCCGUAAACGAUGGAUACUAGCUGUUCGGAGCAAUCUGAGUGGCUAAGCGAAAAGUGAUAAAGUAUCCCACCUGGGGAGUAACGUUCGCAAGAAUGAAAACUUCAAAAGGAAUUGACGG